AAGUCGUAACAAGGUUUCCGUAGGUGAACCUGCGGAAGGAUCAUUCUUGUAUUGUUUGCUAUUAUAUAGCAUUCUAUAAUCUACUAUGUGAACCGUUUAUGCGUGCUUGCGCAAAGACUAUGAUCAGUGCUCCUAGGAGUGCUGCUUGAUAGGAAUUGCGCGGCUGCAAUAAAACUAUAUUAAUCAACUCAAUAUCUUAAAAAAGUCUUGAUAAUACAAAACAAAACAAAAACAACUUUUAGCAACGGAUCUCUAGGCUCUC
rnacentral:misc_RNA from 1 species